CGCAGCCUGAUGCAGCACGCCGCGUGCGGGAAGACAGCCCUAGGGUUGUAAACCGCUUUCAGUAGGGAAGAAAAUGACGGUACCUACAGAAGAAGGUGCGGCCAACUACGUGCCAGCAGCCGCGGUGACACGUAGGCACCAAGCGUUAUCCGGAUUUAUUGGGCGUAAAGAGCUCGUAGGCGGUUUGGUAAGUCGGGUGUGAAAACUCAGGGCUUAACCCUGAGACGCCACCCGAUACUGCCAUGACUUGAGUACGGUAGGGGAGCGGGGAACUCCUGGUGUAGCGGUGAAAUGCGCAGAUAUCAGGAAGAACACCGGUGGCGAAGGCGCCGCUCUGGGCCGUAACUGACGCUGAGGAGCGAAAGCGUGGGUAGCAAACAGGAUUAGAUACCCUGGUAGUCCACGCCGUAAACGUUGGGCACUAGGUGUGGGUCUCAACUAACGAGAUCCGCGCCGUAGCUAACGCAUUAAGUGCCCCGCCUGGGGAGUACGGUCGCAAGACUAAAACUCAAAGGAAAAUUGACGGA
rnacentral:rRNA from 1 species